UACGUAGGGGGCAAGCGUUAUCCGGAAUUACUGGGUGUAAAGGGAGCGUAGACGGUAAAGCAAGUCUGGAGUGAAAGGCUGGGGCCCAACCCCGGGACUGCUCUGGAAACUGUUAAACUGGAGUGCAGGAGAGGCAGGCGGAAUUCCUAGUGUAGCGGUGAAAUGCGUAGAUAUUAGGAGGAACACCAGUGGCGAAGGCGGCCUGCUGGACUGUAACUGACGUUGAGGCUCGAAAGCGUGGGGAGCAAACAGG
rnacentral:ncRNA from 2 species